rnacentral:rRNA from 1 species
UACGUAGGGGGCUAGCGUUGUCCGGAAUCAUUGGGCGUAAAGCGCGUGUAGGCGGUCCGGUAAGUCCGCUGUGAAAGUCGGGGGGCUCAACCCUCGAAUGCCGGUGGAUACUGUCGGGCUAGAGUGCGGAAGAGGCGAGUGGAAUUCCUGGUGUAGACGGUGAAAUGCGCAGAUAUCAGGAGGAACACCAAUUGCGAAGGCAGCUCGCUGGGACGUAACUGACGCUGGAGACGCGAAAGCGUGGGGAGCAAACAGG